rnacentral:rRNA from 1 species
ACUAACAGCUCUAGCCAGACUUACACAUGCAAGUAUCCGCACCCCCGUGAGAAUGCCCUACACACCCCGCCCGGGAAUUAGGAGCCGGUAUCAGGCACACCCUAGCCCAUGACACCUUGCUUAGCCACGCCCCCAAGGGAACUCAGCAGUGAUAAACAUUAAGCCAUAAGUGAAAACUUGACUUAGUCACGGCUAGGGCCGGUAAAACUCGUGCCAGCCACCGCGGUUAUACGAGAGGCCCAAGUUGUUAGCCCCCGGCGUAAAGAGUGGUUAAAAACACAACAUUAAACUGAGGCCGAACAUCCUCAAGGCAGUUAUACGCUCCCGAGGACAUGAAGAACAAUUACGAAAGUAGCCUCACCCCAUUUGAACCCACGAAAGCUAGGACACAAACUGGGAUUAGAUACCCCACUAUGCCUAGCCCUAAACAACGAUACCAUUAUUCCCCUAUCCGCCCGGGUACUACGAGCAUUAGCUUAAAACCCAAAGGACUUGGCGGUGCUUUAAAACCAUCUAGAGGAGCCUGUUCUAGAACCGAUAACCCCCGUUAAACCUCACCCCUUCUUGUUUAAUCCGCCUAUAUACCACCGUCGUCAGCCUACCCUGUGAAGGACCAAUAGUAGGCAAAGUUGGCACAGCCCAAAACGUCAGGUCGAGGUGUAGCGUAUGAAGGGGGAAGAAAUGGGCUACAUUCUCUACUCAGAGAACCACGAAUGACACAUUGAAACAUGUGUCUGAAGGAGGAUUUAGCAGUAAGCAAAGA